UGGGGAAUUUUGGACAAUGGGCGAAAGCCUGAUCCAGCAAUGCCGCGUGUGUGAAGAAGGCCUUCGGGUUGUAAAGCACUUUUGUCCGGAAAGAAAUCCUUGGCUCUAAUACAGUCGGGGGAUGACGGUACCGGAAGAAUAAGCACCGGCUAACUACGUGCCAGCAGCCGCGGUAAUACGUAGGGUGCAAGCGUUAAUCGGAAUUACUGGGCGUAAAGCGUGCGCAGGCGGUUUGCUAAGACCGAUGUGAAAUCCCCGGGCUCAACUGGGAACUGCAUUGGUGACUGGCAGGCUAGAGUAUGGCAGAGGGGGGUAGAAUUCCACGUGUAGCAGUGAAAUGCGUAGAGAUGUGGAGGAAUACCGAUGGCGAAGGCAGCCCCCUGGGCCAAUACUGACGCUCAUGCACGAAAGCGUGGGGAGCAAACAGGAUUAGAUACCCUGGUAGUCCACGCCCUAAAACGAUGUCAACUAGUUGUUGGGGA
rnacentral:rRNA from 1 species